rnacentral:misc_RNA from 1 species
GAUGAAGAACGCAGCGAAAUGCGAUAAGUAAUGUGAAUUGCAGAAUUCAGUGAAUCAUCGAAUCUUUGAAUGCACAUUGCGCCCGCUGGUAUUCCGGCGGGCAUGCCUGUUCGAGCGUCAUUUCAACCCUCAAGCUCUCCGGAGUUUGGUGUUGGGGCGCCUGGGGCUUUUCGACCUCAGGGCCCUCAAGUCCAUCGGCGGGACCGCCAGGACACUGAGCGCAGUAGUAUUAUUUCGCUCGGUAGGAUCUUCCACGGCGGGUCGAUCUGGCCGCUAAACCCCCCAAUUCUCACCAAAGGUUGACCUCGGAUCAGGUAGGAAUACCCGCUGAACUUAAGCAUAUCAAUAAGCGGAGGA